GACGAACGCUGGCGGCGUGCUUAACACAUGCAAGUCGAACGGAAAGGCCCUGCUUUUGUGGGGUGCUCGAGUGGCGAACGGGUGAGUAACACGUGAGUAACCUGCCCUUGACUUUGGGAUAACUUCAGGAAACUGGGGCUAAUACCGGAUAGGAGCUCCUGCUGCAUGGUGGGGGUUGGAAAGUUUCGGCGGUUGGGGAUGGACUCGCGGCUUAUCAGCUUGUUGGUGGGGUAGUGGCUUACCAAGGCUUUGACGGGUAGCCGGCCUGAGAGGGUGACCGGCCACAUUGGGACUGUGUUACCGCCCAGCCUCCUACGUGAGGCAGCAGUGGGGAAUAUUGCACAAUGGGCGGAAGCCUGAUGCAGCAACGCCGCGUGCGGGAUGACGGCCUUCGGGUUGUAAACCGCUUUCGCCUGUGACGAAGCGUGAGUGACGGUAAUGGGUAAAGAAGCACCGGCUAACUACGUG
rnacentral:rRNA from 1 species